AGUGAACGCUGGCGGUAGGCCUAACACAUGUAAGUCGAACGGCAGCACAGUAAGAGCUUGCUCUUACGGGUGGCGAGUGGCGGACGGGUGAGGAAUACAUCGGAAUCUACUUUUUCGUGGGGGAUAACGUAGGGAAACUUACGCUAAUACCGCAUACGACCUACGGGUGAAAGCAGGGGAUCUUCGGACCUUGCGCGAUUGAAUGAGCCGAUGUCGGAUUAGCUAGUUGGCGGGGUAAAGGCCCACCAAGGCGACGAACCGUAGCUGGUCUGAGAGGAUGAUCAGCCACACUGGAACUGAGACACGGUCCAGACUCCUACGGGAGGCAGCAGUGGGGAAUAUUGGACAAUGGGCGCAAGCCUGAUCCAGCCAUACCGCGUGGGUGAAGAAGGCCUUCGGGUUGUAAAGCCCUUUUGUUGGGAAAGAAAAGCAGCAGGUUAAUACCCCGCUGUUCUGACGGUACCCAAAGAAUAAGCACCGGCUAACUUCGUG
rnacentral:rRNA from 1 species